GUACUGCUAAAGAGUCCCAAACUGGGACGAAACAACUGUCUAGUAC
rnacentral:hammerhead_ribozyme from 1 species